AAGCUGGAUUCGCUAGUAAUCGCGCAUCAGCCAUGGCGCGGUGAAUACGUUCCCGGGCCUUGUACACACUGCCCGUCAAGCCAUGAAAGCCGGGGGCGCCUGAAGUCCGUGACCGCGAGGGUCGGCCUAGGGUGAAACCGGUGAUUGGGGCUAAGUCGUAACAAGGUAGC
rnacentral:rRNA from 1 species